GAGUUUGAUUAUGGCUCAGGAUGAACGCUAGCGGCAGGCCUAACACAUGCAAGUCGAGGGGUAGAGUGCUUCGGCACUUGAGACCGGCGUACGGGUGCGUAACGCGUGUACAAUCUACCUUUUGCUAAGGGAUAGCCCGAAGAAAUUUGGAUUAAUACCUUAUAGUAUUAUUUGGUGGCAUCAUUAAAUAAUUAAAGCUACGGUGGCAAAAGAUGAGUACGCGUCCCAUUAGCUAGUUGGAGUGGUAACGGCACACCAAGGCUACGAUGGGUAGGGGUUCUGAGAGGGAUGUCCCCCACACUGGUACUGAGACACGGACCAGACUCCUACGGGAGGCAGCAGUGAGGAAUAUUGGACAAUGGUCGGAAGACUGAUCCAGCCAUGCCGCGUGCAGGAUGACGGCCUUAUGGGUUGUAAACUGCUUUUGUAUGGGAAGAAUAAGGUCUACGUGUAGAUUGA
rnacentral:rRNA from 1 species